rnacentral:rRNA from 1 species
GCGGUAGGCCUAACACAUGCAAGUCGAACGGCAGCACAGCAGUAGCAAUACUGUGGGUGGCGAGUGGCGGACGGGUGAGGAAUACAUCGGAAUCUACUCUGUCGUGGGGGAUAACGUAGGGAAACUUACGCUAAUACCGCAUACGACCUACGGGUGAAAGUGGGGGACCGCAAGGCCUCACGCGAUUGAAUGAGCCGAUGUCGGAUUAGCUAGUUGGCGGGGUAAAGGCCCACCAAGGCGACGAUCCGUAGCUGGUCUGAGAGGAUGAUCAGCCACACUGGAACUGAGACACGGUCCAGACUCCUACGGGAGGCAGCAGUGGGGAAUAUUGGACAAUGGGCGCAAGCCUGAUCCAGCCAUACCGCGUGGGUGAAGAAGGCCUUCGGGUUGUAAAGCCCUUUUGUUGGGAAAGAAAUCCUGUUGAUUAAUACUCGACAGGGAUGACGGUACCCAAAGAAUAAGCACCGGCUAACUUCGUGCCAGCAGCCGCGGUAAUACGAA